GGUUCCUCAGUUGCAGUGAGAUGUGAGGCACUUGCAAAGACUCAGUCCACCACCCUGGGCAGCUUUUCCGAGACGUAGGGACUGGCUUGCCAUAAUUCAUAGCUUCUGCUGUCCCUUGCUACAUACCUCCUGUUUGGUCACAAACUAGGAUUGCAGCAUCUGCUUAUAGGCUCAAAAUAAAGGGAUGGAGAAAAAUCGACCAAGCAAAUGGAAAACAGAAAAGAGCAACUUGCUUCCUGAAAAUUCACGCUCCAGCUCCCUGCCACCUCCACAUCUCCCAGUCAGCCUCUUGUUGGCACACUGAAUCACUCUGGGGCCA